CCCUGCACAUCUCCUUCAGAUCGCUGCAAUUUUGACUUAAUUUACUUAAAGGUAUUUAAGUACUGAAUUUUGUUUCUUUUAAAUUUUGUUGAUGGAUUUGACUAUAUGUUUAAAUAUUCAAUAUUUUAUUUAGCCCCCUCACAACAUUCAAACUGUUUGAUAGUUUAG